UGACAAGUUCAACGGCCGCGGUACCCUAACCGUGCGAAGGUAGCAUAAUCACUUGUUCUUUAAAUGAGGACUUGUAUCAACGGCAUCACGAGGGUUAAACUGUCUCCCUUUUCAUAUCAGUGAAACUGAUCUCUCCGUGAAGAAGCGGAGAUAAUACCAUAAGACGAGAAGACCCCAUGGAGCUUUAAACCCAACUACACCCUAGCCUAAUUACUACUUCUUAAUUUUAAGGUCCUGUAUGUUUUGGUUUUAGGUUGGGGUGACCGCGGAGUAAAAACUAACCUCCACAAUGAAUAGAUUUCCUCUUUAUCUAAGAGCUACACCUCCAAGAAUUAGAAUUCUAACAUAAAAUGAUCCGAUAUUUGAUCAACGAACCAAGUUACCCUGGGGAUAACAGCGCAAUCCACUUCAAGAGCUCCUAUCGACAAGUGGGUUUACGACCUCGAUGUUGGAUCAGGGUAUCCCAGUGGUGCAGCAGCUACUAAAGGUUCGUUUGUUCAACGAUUAAAACCCU
rnacentral:rRNA from 1 species